GACGAACGCUGGCGGCGUGCUUAACACAUGCAAGUCGAACGGAAAGGCCCUGCUUUUGUGGGGUGCUCGAGUGGCGAACGGGUGAGUAACACGUGAGUAACCUGUCCUUGACUUUGGGAUAACUUCAGGAAACUGGGGCUAAUACCGGAUAGGAGCUCCUGCUGCAUGGUGGGGGUUGGAAAGUUUCGGCGGUUGUGAUGGACUCGCGGCUUAUCAGCUUGUUGGUGGGGUAGUGGCUUACCAAGGCUUUGACGGGUAGCCGGCCUGAGAGGGUGACCGGCCACAUUGGGACUGAGAUACGGCCCAGACUCCUACGGGAGGCAGCAGUGGGGAAUAUUGCACAAUGGGCGGAAGCCUGAUGCAGCAACGCCGCGUGCGGGAUGACGGCCUUCGGGUUGUAAACCGCUUUCGCCUGUGACGAAGCGUGAGUGGCGGUAAUGGGUAAAGAAGCACCGGCUAACUACGUG
rnacentral:rRNA from 1 species